AAAACGACUCUCGGCAACGGAUAUCUCGGCUCUCGCAUCGAUGAAGAACGUAGCGAAAUGCGAUACUUGGUGUGAAUUGCAGAAUCCCGUGAACCAUCGAGUCUUUGAACGCAAGUUGCGCCCGAAGCCUUUUGGUUGAGGGCACGUCUGCCUGGGUGUCACAC
rnacentral:rRNA from 1 species